ACAAAUCCUAAGAGUUUUGCUCUUGAUCCUCCCUCCUAACAUAGUCAACUAAGAUUGCAUUAACUUUAAUGAAGAAAACCUCUUCAAAUCUAAUCAACACGUCACAACGACUGUUUCUACGGACUUUUGGCUGUCCUAGGAUUCAUAAAUCUUUUGGUAUAUCUCAUUUGUGCUGUGUGGUACAAACCUCAUCAGAAACCUAAACCUGCUGCUAAACAGAUAGAGACUGCUGUUUUUAAUGGAACUGCUCAAGAAAACUGCUAAUUUUUCAAGUUGAGUUUUACUAGAUAAAAAGGUUUUAUCGGUACCAUGUAAUCAGUGUAAUUGAAGUUAAAACAAGUGUGUUUUCUUGUGUUUGAUUUUACCUUUUAUAAAUUUAGCAAAAGAGUGAUGUCCCAAUUUUCAGUGCCUGUAUUGUAUACUUUGUUCAAAUUAAUGAUGAUUUUCGACGUCUUUCAGUGCUUGCUUCAAUUUAUAAAGGGCCAUCUUCAGUUCA
rnacentral:lncRNA from 1 species